rnacentral:rRNA from 1 species
GACGAACGCUGGCGGCGUGCUUAACACAUGCAAGUCGAACGGAAAGGCCCUGCUUUUGUGGGGUGCUCGAGUGGCGAACGGGUGAGUAACACGUGAGUAACCUGCCCUUGACUUUGGGAUAACUUCAGGAAACUGGGGCUAAUACCGGAUAGGAGCUCCUGCUGCAUGGUGGGGGUUGGAAAGUUUCGGCGGUUGAGGAUGGACUCGCGGCUUAUCAGCUUGUUGGUGGGGUAGUGGCUUACCAAGGCUUUGACGGGUAGCCGGCCUGAGAGGGUGACCCGCCACAUUGGGACUGAGAUACGGCCCAGACUCCUACGGGAGGCAGCAGUGGGGAAUAUUGCACAAUGGGCGGAAGCCUGAUGCAGCAACGCCGCGUGCGGGAUGACGGCCUUCGGGUUGUAAACCGCUUUCGCCUGUGACGAAGCGUGAGUGACGGUAAUGGGUAAAGAAGCACCGGCUAACUACGUG